UACAGAGGUCUCAAGCGUUGUUCGGAAUCAUUGGGCGUAAAGAGCGUGUAGGCGGUCCGAUAAGUCCGCUCUGAAAGCCCGGGGCUCAACCCCGGGAGGCGGGCGGAUACUGUCGGGCUAGAGUCCGGAAGAGGCAAGUGGAAUUCCUGGUGUAGCGGUGAAAUGCGCAGAUAUCAGGAGGAACACCGAUGGCGAAGGCAGCUUGCUGGGACGGUACUGACGCUGAGACGCGAAAGCGUGGGGAGCAAACAGG
rnacentral:rRNA from 1 species